AGCGGAGGAAAAGAAACUAACAAGGAUUCCCCUAGUAACGGCGAGUGAAGAGGGAAGAGCUCAAAUUUUAAAUCUGCCUUGUUUCAAGGUCGAGUUGUAAUUUGAAGAAGCGUUUUCUUGGGCUCGCGGCCGGUAGAAGUUCUUUGGAACAGGACAUCAUAGAGGGUGACAAUCCCGUCUGCGACCGGUCGUGCGUUCAUCUACGAUACGCUUUCAAAGAGUCGAGUUGUUUGGGAUUGCAGCUCCAAAUGGGUGGUAAACAUCACCUAAGGCUAAAUAUUGGCGAGAGACCGAUAGCGAACAAGUACCGUGAGGGAAAGAUGAAAAGAACUUUGAAAAGAGAGUUAAACAGUACGUGAAAUUGUUGAAAGGGAAACGAUUGAAGUCAGUCGUGCUGGCGCGAAAUCAACCCUCUCGUUGAGAGGUCACAUGGCGUGGCGAGCCUCAAAACCGUCACGAAGCGUGAACUCUUGGCGAAAAGGAGCACUUUCGUGUCCGCUGGUUAACAUCAAUUUCGAACGUCAUAAAAAGGCUGGAGGGAUGUGGCUCCUUCGGGAGUGUUAUAACCUUUAGCGGAAUGUGGUGGUCGGGAUUGAGGAUUGCAACGAAUACCUUUAGGGCUGUUCCACCUGGCUUCUCUUUGGUAUCCUGGUGACGACAGCUUGCUGACGUUGUUAGGAUUCGCCUUUGAACAGGCUAGAGUGUGAGCAAAUUCGUWAAGGAUGUUAACGUAAUGGCUUUAAACGACCCGUCUUGAACAACGGAC
rnacentral:rRNA from 1 species